rnacentral:rRNA from 1 species
GUGAGGAAUUUUCCGCAAUGGGCGAAAGCCUGACGGAGCAAUGCCGCGUGAAGGAUGAAGGCCUAUGGGUUGUAAACUUCUUUUCUCAGAAAAGAAUUAUGACGGUAUCUGAGGAAUAAGCAUCGGCUAACUCUGUGCCAGCAGCCGCGGUAAGACAGAGGAUGCAAGCGUUAUCCGGAAUGAUUGGGCGUAAAGCGUCUGUAGGUUGUUUAAAAAGUAUUAUGUCAAAGAUUAGGGCUUAACCCUAGAUAGGCAGAAUAAACUUUUAAGCUAGAGUUUUGUAGAGGCAGAGGGAAUUCCCGGUGGAGCGGUGAAAUGCGUAGAUAUCGGGAGGAACACCAAAGGCGAAGGCACUCUGCUGGGCCAAUACUAACACUGAGAGACGAAAGCGAGGGGAGCAAAUGGGAUUAGAUACCCUAGUAGUCC